UGCGUUUACAAGCAGGACAAUCAUUCAGGAGAAAUGUCUUUGGGCACUUGUGUAACUUAUCACUACAGGGGGUCAUGAGUGAAAUUCUAGACUCCACUGUGCCGACCUGACGAAGCAACUGCGAUUGAAAAUAGUCAAAACAGAACUGAAGAGGCGGGGGGCGGCGCGCAAGUGCGCGCUCCGGGCAGGCCGGGUCUCCCCCAAAUUGCAAACCCGGUGAGAAAACAAAAACACUCCGAGAAGGAUUCUGGAUGAACUGCUCAGAGACGACGUGCAGAAACACGGGCGUGUGCGCACACGCACGGACCCACAACCUACCGAACCGGAGGCUCCGCGAACUUGACCGGAGGGAGACUCAGUAGGUCUCCACUGAAUUCCUUAUCAGCCGAAGAAGACGUCCCACAGCCCCAGGGUUGCCAUGAAAACCAUAAGGGCAUAAAACGCCAGAUUCCAGAAACUGACUGACUGAAGAAACAUGGUGCCGCCGCCGGCGCGCGGCCCCAAGUCCGACUGAACCAGCCGAAGAACGCCUAGCGGCCGGCGCGGGAGCGAAGCCGGAGCAGCGCGCGCCUGCGCAGACGCCCCGCCUGCCCAGGCGCCCGCCGCGCAGUGCGCGUGCGCGCAGUCGGCCUGCUGCGCCUCCCGUCUGGCAUCUGGUUGAGAGAGGAGGUGGCGCUUGCGGCGGGAGCGCGAGUCUGGGGGGGAACAGAGAAGGGGGGCGAAGCGGGUUAGGUUGGACAGACCCAGGGGGAAGAAGGUGGGUGGGUGAGGAGAAGGGAAAGGAGGAAGGGGGAGGGAAAGAAGAGGCGGGCGCAGGAGCCUCGGAGGCUGGAGAGGGAAGGGCUGGGGGCAGGGAGGGUGGGCAUGGGGGGGGGGGGUUAACCUGGAGAGGGGGAGGCGGUUCCCGGUGCGGAGCCGACCCGGCGCGGGCAGGAAGCCAUUAGCCCUGGGAGCCGUCGGCUGUCGCGUCGGAGACCUCUCCCUGCGCAGUUUAAAAACCCUUCCCGCUCAGUUCUGAAACGCCUCAGGCCUCUGCCAUUUCGGUUCUCCCAGCGGCCACCGAGCGCGCCCACAGCCCCCUGGACCAGUUGGCGUGAGGAGGGACAAGCGUGUUUCCCUCCUCUUGGACCGCAGACGUUACCCCGUAGGCGACCGCGCUUCAGAGCCGCGGCACACAAAAAAUCACCAGCAGGUCGGCAACGUUCCGUACUCGGUGUAACAUGGAAGAAGCGUGAGUCACAGAAAGCCUCGCUGGUCUCGAAAACACUACAUCAAAGUUUCCGUGACCCCUGACGCUUCCAGCAGAUGCCGGGGCCGGGGAGGGCGGGGACCGGUUCGGCGCCGUCCUGUCUUGCUCCCUGGAACCCCUCUUCGGAAGCCGGUUCCGCGUCAGGGCGAGGAGGCGGUGUCGCUCGAGCUUCCACUCGGACUCUCAAGUGACUUAAUUCGUUUAGAAGAAUUAAGUUUGGUUUUGCACAAAGAAGAGGAGAAAAGCAGUUCAAAAACCAUAAUCACGAAUAGCGACUUCAAAACACUCAAAUGUUAUGAGAAGCAAGACGGUGGACCAUUCUUUAAAUCUGACCCAAGAGCAGUUGGGGUGGGGAGGUGGCUAAUUGCAAAAUUUUCCUUAGAAUUACUUUUCACACUGACUAGAUUUCAUUUCAGUUCAGUUUUACUGGUUCUCAUGUAUUUUUUUUUUUUCUGUGUGGAGGAGGUCUGGCUGGUAAAAUCAAAAUUUUAAAACUUUAA